GACGAACGCUGGCGGCGUGCUUAACACAUGCAAGUCGAACGAUGAUGCCUGCAACUUGUUGUGGGUGGAUUAGUGGCGAACGGGUGAGUAAUACGUGAGUAACCUGCCCUCCUUUUUGGGAUAAGCCUUGGAAACGGGGUCUAAUACCGAAUAUUCUGGAUGAUUCGCAUGGAUUGUUUGGGAAAGCUUUUGUGAAGGGGGAUGGGCUCGCGGCCUAUCAGCUUGUUGGUGGGGUGAUGGCCUACCAAGGCGGUGACGGGUAGCCGGCCUGAGAGGGUGACCGGCCACAUUGGGACUGAGAUACGGCCCAGACUCCUACGGGAGGCAGCAGUGGGGGAUAUUGCACAAUGGGCGAAAGCCUGAUGCAGCGACGCCGCGUGGGGGAUGAAGGCUUUCGGGUUGUAAACCUCUUUCGCUAUCGAACAAGGCUCACUUUUUUGGUGGGUUGGGGGUAGGUGGAGAAGAAGCGCCGGCUAACUACGUGCCAGCAGCCGCGGUAAUACGUAGGGCGCGAGCGUUGUCCGGAAUUAUUGGGCGUAAAGGGCUUGUAGGCGGCUUGUUGCGCCUGCUGUGAAAACGCGGGGCUUAACUUCGCGCGUGCAGUGGGUACGGGCAGGCUUGAGUGUGGUAGGGGUGACUGGAAUUCCAGGUGUAGCGGUGGAAUGCGCAGAUAUCUGGAGGAACACCGAUGGCGAAGGCAGGUCACUGGGCCAUUACUGACGCUGAGGAGCGAAAGCAUGGGUAGCGAACAGG
rnacentral:rRNA from 1 species